AGUCCGGUGGGCAAUUCCCCACGGCUUCCGGAGGGUAAAAGGCUCCGGAAUAAGGCUGGCAGUCCGUGGCAGGCCGCCGCGUAAUACCGCGCCCCGAGUGGUGGCCCGCUAUUAUUGGGCCUAAAGCGUCCGUAGCCGGGCCCGUAAGUCCCUGGCGAAAUCCCACGGCUCAACCCGUGGGGCUUGCUGGGGAUACUGCGGGCCUUGGGACCGGGAGAGGCCGGGGGUACCCCUGGGGUAGGGGUGAAAUCCUAUAAUCCCAGGGGGACCGCCAGUGGCGAAGGCGCCCGGCUGGAACGGGUCCGACGGUGAGGGACGAAGGCCAGGGGAGCGAACCGGAUUAGAUACCCGGGUAGUCCUGGCUGUAAAGGAUGCGGGCUAGGUGUCGGGCGAGCUUCGAGCUCGCCCGGUGCCGAAGGGAAGCCGUUAAGCCCGCCGCCUGGGGAGUACGGCCGCAAGGCUGAAACUUAAAGGAAUUGGCGGGGGAGCACUACAAGGGGUGGAGCGUGCGGUUUAAUUGGAUUCAACGCCGGGAACCUCACCGGGGGCGACGGCAGGAUGAAGGCCAGGCUGAAGGUCUUGCCGGACACGCCGAGAGGAGGUGCAUGGCCGCCGUCAGCUCGUACCGUGAGGCGUCCACUUAAGUGUGGUAACGAGCGAGACCCGCGCCCCCAGUUGCCAGUCCUCCCCGCUGGGGAGGAGGCACUCUGGGGGGACCGCCGGCGAUAAGCCGGAGGAAGGAGCGGGCGACGGUAGGUCAGUAUGCCCCGAAACCCCCGGGCUACACGCGCGCUACAAUGGGCGGGACAAUGGGAUCCGACCCCGAAAGGGGAAGGGAAUCCCCUAAACCCGCCCCCAGUUCGGAUCGCGGGCUGCAACUCGCCCGCGUGAAGCUGGAAUCCCUAGUACCCGCGUGUCAUCAUCGCGCGGCGAAUACGUCCCUGCUCCUUGCACACACCGCCCGUCACUCCACCCGAGCGGGGUCUGGAUGAGGCCUGAUCUCCCUUCGGGGAGGUCGGGUCGAGUCUGGGCUCCGUGAGGGGGGAGAAGUCGUAACAAGGUAACAAUCACUAGUGAAUUCGCGGCCGCCUGCAGGUCGACCAUAUGGGAGAGCUCCCAACGCGUUGGAUGCAUAGCUUGAGUAUUCUAUAGUUCACCUAAAGGA
rnacentral:rRNA from 1 species